CUACCGGGGUUUCUAAUCCUGUUUGCUACCCACGCUUUCGUGUCUCAGUGUCAGUUACGGUCCAGAGAGCCGUCUACACCACCGGUAUUCCUCCUGAUAUCUACGCAUUUCACCGCUACACCAGGAAUUCUACUCUCCCAUCCCGUACUCUAGCCCGCCAGUUUUCCGCGCACCCUCCCGGUUGAGCCGGGAGAUUUCACACGGAACUUAACAGGCCACCUACACACCCUUUACGCCCAGUAACUCCGAACAACGCUUGCUGCCUACGUAUUACCGCGGCUGCUGGCAC
rnacentral:rRNA from 1 species